rnacentral:rRNA from 1 species
AUUGAACGCUGGCGGCAUGCCUUACACAUGCAAGUCGAACGGUAACAGGUCUUCGGAUGCUGACGAGUGGCGAACGGGUGAGUAAUGCAUCGGAACGUGCCCAGUAGUGGGGGAUAGCCCGGCGAAAGCCGGAUUAAUACCGCAUACGACCUGCGGGUGAGAGGGGGGGAUCGCAAGACCUCUCGCUAUUGGAGCGGCCGAUGUCAGAUUAGCUAGUUGGUGGGGUAAAGGCCUACCAAGGCAACGAUCUGUAGUUGGUCUGAGAGGACGACCAGCCACACUGGGACUGAGACACGGCCAAGACUCCUACGGGAGGCAGCAGUGGGGUAUUUUGGACAAUGGGCGCAAGCCUGAUUCAGCAAUGCCGCGUGCAGGAAGAAGGCCUUCGGGUUGUAAACUGCUUUUGUCAGGGAAGAAAUCUUCUGGGUUAAUACCUCGGGAGGAUGACGGUACCUGAAGAAUAAGCACCGGCUAACUACGUGCCAGCAGCCGCCGUAAGAC